AAGUCGUGCGAGAAAGUUCCUUCGGGAAUGAGUAGAGCGGCGAACGGGUGAGUAACACGUAAGUAACCUGCCUCUAAGUCGGGGAUAACCUUGCUAACGCGGGGCUAAUACCGGGUGUGGUCCUGAUUCCGCAUGGUUUCAGGAUUAAAGGUGACCUCUUCUUGAAAGUUACUGCUUAGAGAUGGGCUUGCGCCCCAUUAGCUUGUUGGUGAGGUAACGGCUCACCAAGGCGUCGAUGGGUAGCCGACCUGAGAGGGUGAUCGGCCACAUUGGGACUGAGAUACGGCCCAGACUCCUACGGGAGGCAGCAGUAGGGAAUAUUGCGCAAUGGACGAAAGUCUGACACAGCAACUCCGCGUGAGGGAUGAAGGUCCUCGGAUCGUAAACCUCUGUUGGGUGGGACGAAAAAGCUUGCGGUUAAUACCCACAGGCCCUGACGGUACCACCUGAGGAAGCACCGGCUAACUACGUGCCAGCAGCCGCGGUAAUACGUAGGGUGCAAGCGUUGUUCGGAAUCACUGGGCGUAAAGGGAGCGUAGGCGGAAGGGUAAGUUAGAAGUUAAAGAUCCAGGCUUAACUUGGAAAGUGCUUUUAAUACUGCUUUUCUUGAGUAUGGGAGAGGAUGAUGGAAUUCCAGGUGUAGCGGUGGAAUGCGUAGAUAUCUGGAA
rnacentral:rRNA from 1 species